rnacentral:rRNA from 1 species
AUUGAACGCUGGCGGCAGGCCUAACACAUGCAAGUCGAACGGUAGCACAGAGGAGCUUGCUCCUUGGGUGACGAGUGGCGGACGGGUGAGUAAUGUCUGGGAAACUGCCCGAUGGAGGGGGAUAACUACUGGAAACGGUAGCUAAUACCGCAUAACGUCGCAAGACCAAAGAGGGGGACCUUCGGGCCUCCUGCCAUCGGAUGUGCCCAGAUGGGAUUAGCUAGUAGGUGGGGUAACGGCUCACCUAGGCGACGAUCCCUAGCUGGUCUGAGAGGAUGACCAGCCACACUGGAACUGAGACACGGUCCAGACUCCUACGGGAGGCAGCAGUGGGGAAUAUUGCACAAUGGGCGCAAGCCUGAUGCAGCCAUGCCGCGUGUAUGAAGAAGGCCUUCGGGUUGUAAAGUACUUUCAGCGAGGAGGAAGGCGUUGUGGUUAAUAACCGCAGCGAUUGACGUUGCUCGCAGAAGAAGCACCGGCUAACUCCGUGCCAGCCGCCGCCGUAAUAC